GUAUCCUGGCUCAGGAUGAACGCUAGCUACAGGCUUAACACAUGCAAGUCGAGGGGCAGCAUUUUAGUUUGCUUGCAAACUAAAGAUGGCGACCGGCGCACGGGUGAGUAACACGUAUCCAACCUGCCGAUAACUCAGGGAUAGCCUUUCGAAAGAAAGAUUAAUACCUGAUGGCAUAGGAUUAUCGCAUGAUAAUCCUAUUAAAGAAUUUCGGUUAUAGAUGGGGAUGCGUUCCAUUAGG
rnacentral:rRNA from 1 species